rnacentral:tRNA from 1 species
AACACUCAGCGGGCCCGUGGCUCGCCGUGAUCGUAUAGUGGUUAGUACUCUGCGUUGUGGCCGCAGCAACCUCGGUUCGAAUCCGAGUCACGGCACUCCUCAUGGCCCGACCUGAAGUUCACCUUUUGCUUCUUUUACCCCUACACUUGUGUUUGCUUCUCAGCAAAGGAAAUUCGCCCUCAGCACACUGACCGCCAGCUGUCUGCCCUACCAAGAAGGGAAAGAAGAGUGAACUGAGCAGGAAGGAAGCAACUCACAGGCCAUGACUGGGGAAAGAAGGAAAUCAAAGAAUUUUCUUCAUCAAGCAGACUGGAAUGGCGAUUUAGCUCAGUGGUUCUGUUGCCUUUCUUGCAAGCUCAAGGUCCUGAGUUUGAUCCACAGUACCAAAAAGAAAAAUAAAAAAAUACAUCAGGACUACUACUCCCACCUGCACCAACCCCGAUUCCUGAUUGUAUAGAAAUGUCCAAAAUCAAGAAAAUAUAUUUAACGGUUCAUAAUUUAUGAAUUUCUCAGGUUGCCAAGAGGACCUAAAAACAAAUAAGUGAAUAAAACCAUUUUGAUGUUCCAAAGUAGUGUCACAUCAUUUUAUAACUAAAAUAUAUAAAAUUUUGAAAUUGAAUAAACCAUUUAUCCUCAAAAGAGAGUUAAAAAAACUCAAAAUGUUAUUGGUAUUUAGUGUAAAACUAUGCUAGAUUUGAGGGGAAGGGUAGAGGAGAAAAAUCUUGCACGUUUUGGGGUGACAUUUAAUCACAUCUUGUCUCUGACACAGCCACACCUUAUGCCCCUCAAACUCAAAUCUCUUGGAAGGAGCAAUCAAGAGGCAUAAAACUAAACUAGGGGAACAGUUCCCAAAUCCUGUAGCUCAUUUUCCCUUAUCCUAAUUACAAUCUUCCUGGUGACACCCUUCUUUGGACACGAUGGUCCCACAGAACACAGGCAGCAGGUGACAGACCAG